rnacentral:lncRNA from 1 species
ACUUGUGCCCAGAGUUUGAUUUUCCACAGACCAGGUAGAGGCCAAGAGCCUCUCACAGACUCUGCAGCAGGGUUGCUAUGAUUAACUCUUAAGUACUCCACAACUACACGCUUUUGAAACUGGCGUUGGCAUAGCGUUAGUUCUGUGCAGGGCGGACGCAGCAGGACAGAAUCUCCCUGGGCAUCUUUUCGGAGCAUCAAUUUUACUGCAAAAUUUUGAAAAAACAAAUUUAAUUGAUUUCCAAGGUUUGUCAAGGAGGACAGAAACUCAGAGCACCCUGCACUUGGGGAUCGGCACUAGGAGCUGCUCUCUGGAUGGGGAGAUGGGAGCUAGCAGCUCACAAUGGGGUCACAAGACAGGAGUGUUAUUGGGAGAAUCCUGUUUUGUUGACAAAUACUGAGAUCAUCCAACUCACCAGGCAAAGUUGACUUGUGUAAGUGAUCUUCAGAUAUGAAAAGUGUGGAACCCAGCUGCUCCUCCUCAGAUAGGCGACAUGACAAUUGUAGGCCUGGAGGGAGAUGAGUUGACAACAUCCCUUCCCUAUAACCACUUGUUGGAUCUGAUCUCACAUACACAGACUCACUCCAAAGACUGACCUGGGUGUCUGCUUCUCAGCUUCAUUAACAGUGGGUGCUCACAAGUCUAGUGGAGAGAAUGUCUGAGAAGAGGAGGACCUUGACUGCUCCUGAACCGGAGACCUCAGAACCAUGGUGCUCUCCUGUCCAGGCUGAACACUAAUGCUCUUGAGAGUCACAUUGAAGAAAGCCAACAUUUUUAAAUCUAAUGGAUACAUUCAUUUUGUGUAGUAACAGGAUCUUCUACACUGUAGCUGCUUCCAGUGUGAGCCAGACAAAUGUACUGAAUAUAGGCCUCAGAGGUGAUCCCACCACCUUCACAGCAAUGGUCCUUCCCCAGGAGCUUCCCCUGAGAAACGGGCCAUCCAGACCAUACUGCUGCUGAAUAAUGUCUCAUUGGAAAUCUCAACAUUCUUCAUUUAGAACACCACCGCCAAUAUCUACCAUAUGCCGGGAUUAUUGUGCAGGGUAAUUUUUAUUAUUACUUGAAUGUAUAUUUAUAUACUGCAGGAACUAUACAUGUUUAUGGCUAGAAUUACUGUUUUUCCUUAAUAUUAAGAUAGUAUUGGUAGAUUUAAUUAUCUGAAUUUAGUCAUUUGGCUCCAGUCAAAAUGGUUUCUCCUUAGCAGUACUCUGACUUUGUAAAAGUAAUCACAUUUGGAUUCUGUUUCCUCCAGUAGUUUUUAAAAUGAUUUUUUUGAUUAUUCAUAUAACUUUUUUUUAAUGAUCUUUUAAAAACUAGUAUGUGGUUAUAUAUUACUUGUUACACUUUUUGUUUUCUUUAUUUUUUGGUUGGUUACACCUUAAAUGAUUAUUUCUAUUGCCUUUUAAUGUUACUUAGAAAAUAUCACAUGUAAGACUUUUGCUUUUAUAAAGUUAGUAAUACAUUUUCAAGCCUAAACUCUUGAAAUUUUAAUAAUUUCUAUGAUAUUUGAAAAUUAUUUUUAUCUUCUUUUGAGUGCUAAAAGAUAAUAUUUGUCUACCUGAUUAACUAGCACAACUUUUAAAAAGUUAUUUAGCACUCUUUAUAUUCAUUCAUUUGUUUU